rnacentral:rRNA from 1 species
UACGUAGGUGGCAAGCGUUGUCCGGAUUUACUGGGCGUAAAGGGCGUGCAGGCGGUUUGUUAAGUGCAGAGUGAAAGCUCCCGGCUCAACUGGGAGAGGUCUUUGCAUACUGGCAAACUCGAGGGAGGCAGAGGAAAGUGGAAUUCCCGGUGUAGUGGUGAUAUGCGUAGAUAUCGGGAGGAACACCUGUGGCGAAGGCGGCUUUCUGGGCCUUACCUGACGCUGAGACGCGAAAGCAUGGGGAGCGAACAGG